CAGGUGUUGUUGUCAGUACUGUACCUGAGUAACUUGUUGUAACAGGGUCACCAGGUGUUGUAACAGGGUCACCAGGUGUUGUUGUCAGUACUGUACCUGAGUAACUUGUUGUAACAGGGUCACCAGGUGUUGUAACAGGGUCACCAGGUGUUGUUGUCAGUACUGUACCUGAGUAACUUGUUGUAACAGGGUCACCAGGUGUUGUAACAGGGUCACCAGGUGUUGUUGUCAGUACUGUACCUGAGUAACUUGUUGUAACAGGGUCACCAGGUGUUGUAACAGGGUCACCAGGUGUUGUUGUCAGUACUGUACCUGAGUAACUUGUUGUAACAGGGUCACCAGGUGUUGUAACAGGGUCACCAGGUGUUGUAACAGGGUCACCAGGUGUUGUUGUCAGUACUGUACCUGAGUAACUUGUUGUAACAGGGUCACCAGGUGUUGUAACAGGGUCACCAGGUGUUGUUGUCAGUACUGUACCUGAGUAACUUGUUGUAACAGGGUCACCAGGUGUUGUAACAGGGUCACCAGGUGUUGUAACAGGGUCACCAGGUGUUGUAACAGGGUCACCAGGUGUUGUAACAGGGUCACCAGGUGUUGUUGUCAGUACUGUACCUGAGUAACUUGUUGUAACAGGGUCACCAGGUGUUGUAACAGGGUCACCAGGUGUUGUUGUCAGUACUGUACCUGAGUAACUUGUUGUAACAGGGUCACCAGGUGUUGUAACAGGGUCACCAGGUGUUGUUGUCAGUACUGUACCUGAGUAACUUGUUGUAACAGGGUCACCAGGUGUUGUAACAGGGUCACCAGGUGUUGUUGUCAGUACUGUACCUGAGUAACUUGUUGUAACAGGGUCACCAGGUGUUGUAACAGGGUCACCAGGUGUUGUUGUCAGUACUGUACCUGAGUAACUUGUUGUAACAGGGUCACCAGGUGUUGUAACAGGGUCACCAGGUGUUGUUGUCAGUACUGUACCUGAGUAACUUGUUGUAACAGGGUCACCAGGUGUUGUAACAGGGUCACCAGGUGUUGUUGUCAGUACUGUACCUGAGUAACUUGUUGUAACAGGGUCACCAGGUGUUGUAACAGGGUCACCAGGUGUUGUAACAGGGUCACCAGGUGUUGUAACAGGGUCACCAGGUGUUGUGUUGUAACAGGGUCACCAGGUGUUGUAACAGGGUCACCAGGUGUUGUAACAGGGUCACCAGGUGUUGUAACAGGGUCACCAGGUG